rnacentral:rRNA from 1 species
UACGUAGGGGGCAAGCGUUGUCCGGAUUUAUUGGGCGUAAAGCGCACGUAGGCGGCCCGGUAAGUCCGCUCUGAAAGUCAGAGGCUCAACCUCUGGAGGCGAGUGGAUACUGCCGGGCUAGAGUCCGGAAGAGGCGAGUGGAAUUCCUGGUGUAGCGGUGGAAUGCGCAGAUAUCAGGAGGAACACCUAUGGCGAAGGCAGCUCGCUGGGACGGUACUGACGCUGAGGUGCGAAAGCGUGGGGAGCGAACAGG